rnacentral:rRNA from 1 species
CAAUUCUGGUUGAUCCUGCCAGAGGCCGCUGCUAUCCGGCUGGGACUAAGCCAUGCGAGUCAAGGGGCUUGUAUCCCUUCGGGGAUGCAAGCACCGGCGGACGGCUCAGUAACACGUGGACAACCUGCCCUCGGGUGGGGGAUAACCCCGGGAAACUGGGGCUAAUCCCCCAUAGGGGAUGGGUACUGGAAUGUCCCAUCUCCGAAAGCGCUCAGCGCCCGAGGAUGGGUCUGCGGCGGAUUAGGUUGUUGGUGGGGUAACGGCCCACCAAGCCGAAGAUCCGUACGGGCCAUGGGAGUGGGAGCCCGGAGAUGGACCCUGAGACACGGGUCCAGGCCCUACGGGGCGCAGCAGGCGCGAAACCUCCGCAAUGCGGGAAACCGCGACGGGGUCAGCCGGAGUGCUCGCGCAUCGCGCGGGCUGUCGGGGUGCCUAAAAAGCACCCCAUAGCAAGGGCCGGGCAAGGCCGGUGGCAGCCGCCGCGGUAAUACCGGCGGCCCGAGUGGCGGCCACUNUUAUUGGGCCUAAAGCGUCCGUAGCCGGGCUGGUAAGUCCUCCGGGAAAUCUGGUCGCUCAACGAUCAGACUUCCGGGA